AUACGGAGGGUGCAAGCGUUGUUCGGAAUCACUGGGCGUAAAGGGCGCGCAGGCGGUUUGGUAAGUCAGAUGUGAAAGCCCACGGCUCAACCGUGGAAGUGCAUUUGAAACUGUCAGACUUGAGUACUAGAGGGGAAAGUGGAAUUCCCGGUGUAGAGGUGAAAUUCGUAGAUAUCGGGAGGAAUACCGGUGGCGAAGGCGACUUUCUGGCUAGAUACUGACGCUGAGGCGCGAAAGCGUGGGGAGCAAACAGGAUUAGAAACCCCAGUGUCC
rnacentral:rRNA from 1 species